UAUUAAGUGGCUGAAACUAAGUGAUGAUCUCUUAAAUCAAUAUAUGGUAAUUAACAAAUACCCUUAAUAA
rnacentral:tRNA from 2 species